AAACUUUCAACAAUGGAUCUCUUGGUUCCGGCAUCGAUGAAGAACGCAGCGAAAUGCGAUAACUAGUGUGAAUUGCAGAAUUCCGUGAAUCAUCGAGUCUUUGAACGCACAUUGCGCCCCCUGGUAUUCCGGGGGGCAUGCCUGUCCGAGCGUCAUUGC
rnacentral:rRNA from 21 species